UCGGACAUGGUGUACGGUACACGGCCUCCCUCGCUGCAAAUUUCCAUCGCAGCCUUUGUGAGGCAGUCCGGGGUUCGACUCCCCGUGUCCGAA